AUUCCAGCUCCAAUAGCGAAUACUAAUUCUGCUGCAGUUAAAAAGCUCGUAGUUGAACUUCUGGUAGGACAGAUCCGGCCUUUGGAUGAAUGUCCAUUGUAUGCUGUGUGUCUUGUCUGGCCAUCCUUUAUGUCUUUUAGGCGUAAUCUUUCACUGUAAAAAAAUUAGGGUGUUUCAAGCAAAAGUUAUUUGGAAUAUAUUAGUAUGGGAUGAUAAGAUAGGCUCUUGAGUGCUACUUUGUUGGUUUAUACACUUAGAGAAUGAUUAAUAGGGAUAGUUGGGGGCGUUUAUAUUCCGUUGUCAGAGGUGAAAUUCUUGGAUUUACGGAAGAUAAACUACUGCGAAAGCAUUCGCCAGGGAUGUUUUCAUCA
rnacentral:rRNA from 1 species